AGCCUCGGAGCCACCUUCAAAACGAACAAAUCUUUCGCCUUUUACUAAAGAUUUCCGUGGGGGUGGCUCACAACGAGCAUAUCAUCUAAUUUUUUUUUCCCUCGCCCUGCUCCUUGCGAGUGG
rnacentral:snRNA from 1 species